rnacentral:ribozyme from 1 species
UGCCCAGCAACUCCUAUCCCUACCUCCUCGUGGUACCGGCCGGAAACUAUGAGCAACCUUAGGGAACAUCGGGUAACCAACCCCGGUGGGAACUUUGGUCGUAGGCUGACAGGGAAGG